rnacentral:rRNA from 1 species
UACGGAGGGGGUUAGCGUUGUUCGGAAUGACUGGGCGUAAAGCGCGCGUAGGCGGGCUGGUAAGUUGGGGGUGAAAUCCCGGGGCUCAACCCCGGAAUGGCCUUCAAGACUCCCAGCCUAGAGUUCGAGAGAGGUGAGUGGAAUUCCGAGUGUAGAGGUGAAAUUCGUAGAUAUUCGGAGGAACACCAGUGGCGAAGGCGGCUCACUGGCUCGACACUGACGCUGAGGUGCGAAAGCGUGGGGAGCAAACAGG